rnacentral:tRNA from 1 species
AUUUAUAUAGCUUAUUUUUAGAGCAUAUCAGUGAAGUUGAUAGGGAAAUUUAGUAUUUGUAAAUA